rnacentral:tRNA from 1 species
UCCCUCGAGCCAAAUUUGAACCAGUGACCUAAGGAUCACCGUUGUAACAUAUACAGUCCUCCACUCUGCCAACUGAGCUAUCGAGGG